rnacentral:rRNA from 1 species
CCCUUAGAUGUCCUGGGCCGCACGCGCGUUACAAUGAAUCGUUCAACAGGUUUCUUCCUGAGUCGAAAGGCUUGGGUAAUCCUUUAAAUACGGUUCGUGCUAGGGAUAGAUUUUUGCAAUUAUUAAUCUUGAACGAGGAAUAUUUAGUAAACGCAGGUCAUCAGCCUGCAUUGAUUACGUCCCUGCCCUUUGUACACACCGCCCGUCGCACCAACCGAUUGGAUGUUUUGUUGAAAUAUGUGGAUGCUUGUUGGGUGAAUUCAUUUUUGCUUGAUAGACAGAAACGUAUUAAAACUGAAUAUCUAGAGGAUGGUGAAGUCGUAACA